rnacentral:rRNA from 2 species
UUUUAUGGAGAGUUUGAUCCUGGCUCAGGAUGAACGCUGGCGGCGUGCCUAAUACAUGCAAGUCGAGCGAACGGACGAGAAGCUUGCUUCUCUGAUGUUAGCGGCGGACGGGUGAGUAACACGUGGAUAACCUACCUAUAAGACUGGGAUAACUUCGGGAAACCGGAGCUAAUACCGGAUAAUAUUUUGAACCGCAUGGUUCAAAAGUGAAAGACGGUCUUACUGUCACUUAUAGAUGGAUCCGCGCUGCAUUAGCUAGUUGGUAAGGUAACGGCUUACCAAGGCAACGAUGCAUAGCCGACCUGAGAGGGUGAUCGGCCACACUGGAACUGAGACACGGUCCAGACUCCUACGGGAGGCAGCAGUAGGGAAUCUUCCGCAAUGGGCGAAAGCCUGACGGAGCAACGCCGCGUGAGUGAUGAAGGUCUUCGGAUCGUAAAACUCUGUUAUUAGGGAAGAACAUAUGUGUAAGUAACUGUGCACAUCUUGACGGUACCUAAUCAGAAAGCCACGGCUAACUACGUGCCAGCAGCCGCGGUAAUACGUAGGUGGCAAGCGUUAUCCGGAAUUAUUGGGCGUAAAGCGCGCGUAGGCGGUUUUUUAAGUCUGAUGUGAAAGCCCACGGCUCAACCGUGGAGGGUCAUUGGAAACUGGAAAACUUGAGUGCAGAAGAGGAAAGUGGAAUUCCAUGUGUAGCGGUGAAAUGCGCAGAGAUAUGGAGGAACACCAGUGGCGAAGGCGACUUUCUGGUCUGUAACUGACGCUGAUGUGCGAAAGCGUGGGGAUCAAACAGGAUUAGAUACCCUGGUAGUCCACGCCGUAAACGAUGAGUGCUAAGUGUUAGGGGGUUUCCGCCCCUUAGUGCUGCAGCUAACGCAUUAAGCACUCCGCCUGGGGAGUACGACCGCAAGGUUGAAACUCAAAGGAAUUGACGGGGACCCGCACAAGCGGUGGAGCAUGUGGUUUAAUUCGAAGCAACGCGAAGAACCUUACCAAAUCUUGACAUCCUUUGACAACUCUAGAGAUAGAGCUUUCCCCUUCGGGGGACAAAGUGACAGGUGGUGCAUGGUUGUCGUCAGCUCGUGUCGUGAGAUGUUGGGUUAAGUCCCGCAACGAGCGCAACCCUUAAGCUUAGUUGCCAUCAUUAAGUUGGGCACUCUAAGUUGACUGCCGGUGACAAACCGGAGGAAGGUGGGGAUGACGUCAAAUCAUCAUGCCCCUUAUGAUUUGGGCUACACACGUGCUACAAUGGACAAUACAAAGGGCAGCGAAACCGCGAGGUCAAGCAAAUCCCAUAAAGUUGUUCUCAGUUCGGAUUGUAGUCUGCAACUCGACUACAUGAAGCUGGAAUCGCUAGUAAUCGUAGAUCAGCAUGCUACGGUGAAUACGUUCCCGGGUCUUGUACACACCGCCCGUCACACCACGAGAGUUUGUAACACCCGAAGCCGGUGGAGUAACCUUUUAGGAGCUAGCCGUCGAAGGUGGGACAAAUGAUUGGGGUGAAGUCGUAACAAGGUAGCCGUAUCGGAAGGUGCGGCUGGAUCACCUCCUUUCU